CACUUUUUGUCCCUCCCCCUGGGCAGACAACUUUCUUUCUCAGUAGUGAAGUCAGUCACUGUUCAGCAGAAGUUUGGUCAUGUCUGGACUGCUGGGUGUUCGACUGUUGCUGCUGUGGGGCAGUGCCUGCCUCUGGCUGCCCGGCCUGGCCCGGGGGGCUCUGUUCAUCUCCGGGGCCCAUGAAGCUCUGCAGGAGAUAAGAGGAGCUGCCAGAUCACUGCAGAAACGAAGUACA